CUCUCUCUGUCUCUCUCUCUCUCUCUCUCUCUCUCUCUCUCUCUCUCUCUCUCUCUGUCUCUCUCUCUCUCUCUCUCUCUCUCUCUGUCUCUCUCUCUCUGUCUCUCUCUGUCUCUCUCUCUCUCUCUCUCUCUCUCUCUCUCUCUCUCUGUCUCUCUCUCUGUCUCUCUCUCUCUCUCUCUCUCUCUCUCUCUCUCUCUCUCUCUCUGUCUCUCUCUGUCUCUCUCUCUCUGUCUCUCUCUGUCUCUCUCUCUGUCUCUCUCUCUCUCUCUCUCUCUCUCUCUCUCUCUCUCUCUCUGUCUCUCUCUCUCUCUCUCUGUCUCUCUCUGUCUCUCUCUCUCUGUCUCUCUCUGUCUCUCUCUCUCUCUCUGUCUCUCUGUCUCUCUCUCUCUCUCUCUCUCUCUCUCUCUCUCUCUCUCUCUCUCUCUCUGUCUCUCUCUCUGUCUCUCUCUCUCUCUCUCUCUCUCUCUCUCUCUGUCUCUCUCUCUCUGUCUCUCUCUGUCUCUCUCUCUCUCUCUCUGUCUCUCUGUCUCUCUCUCUCUCUCUCUCUGUCUCUCUCUCUGUCUCUCUCUCUGUCUCCGUCUCCAGAACCACAGUGAGUUUCGUUGCCUACUGCUGUUCCAGUCAGUGUGUUCAGACAUUUGAUCUGCAGCAAUGACAUCAUGGUGCCUCCACCUCAGUCAUCAUCUCCUCCUCUGGUCUCCUGGAUGAAUGAAUGAAGGAUGACAGAAGAUGGAUGAAGGACUGUGGGAGUCCUCCAGUCCUGAACGUCUCAGGAGGACAUGCAUAGCCUCUGGACUGGUGGACAUGAAGUCCUGAACAUCUCAGGGGGACAUGCAUAGCCUCUGGACUGGUGGACAUGAAGUCCUGAACGUCUCAGGAGGACAUGCAUAGCCUCUGGACUGGUGGACAUGAAGUCCUGAACGUCUCAGGAGGACAUGCAUAGCCUCUGGACUGGUGGACAUGAAGUCCUGAACAUCUCAGGGAGACAUGCAUAGCCUCUGGACUGGUGGACAUGAAGUCCUGAACAUCUCAGGAGGACAUGCAUAGCCUCUGGACUGGUGGACAUGAAGAACUGAACGUCUCAGGAGGACAUGCAUAGCCUCAGCAGCCAGUGACCAGUCCAGCAGUCUGUAAUGGACAUGAAUGGUCCAAUUGAAAGAGGGACAAUAUUGGUAUUAAUAAUCCACAUCAUAUCAUCUACUUAUGUCCAACCACUAACAUCUCUUAAUACAACAUCAUUCUACCAAUGGGUUUGUCUCUGCUUUCAGUUUGUUCCAGCAACAACUCAGACCGUGUCGCUAUGUUACUGGUGUGAACUAGCUGCUCACCAGCCAACCGUUCACCUGACAGACACAAUAACACGAAGGGCCCAGUGUUUCUGUCUUUGUAGAGGAGAAUCUAUUCUGAUCAUUUCUAUGGAUUUUUACUGGAUGACAAAAAGUGUUUGAAGAAUGUCACUUAGGCCGUAUUGCAUGAUAUUUGUUAUAAACCUGUUCUAAAUAUGUAAUACUGGUAGGUGUAUGGUCCCCACUCCAGCCCUGAGGACUUUGAGAAGAUAAUAGUUAUAAACCUGGUAGGUGUAUGGUCCCCCACUCCAGCCCUGAGGACUUUGAGAAGAUAAUAGUUAUAAACCUGGUAGGUGUAUGGUCCCCCACUCCAGCCCUGAGGACUUAGAGAAGAUAAUAGUUAUUAACCUGGUAG